UCCUACGGGACGCAGCAGUGAGGAAUAUUGGUCAAUGGCCGGAAGGCUGAACCAGCCAAGUCGCGUGAGGGACGACUGCCCUAUGGGUUGUAAACCUCUUUUAUAAGGGAAGAAUAAAUGCUACGUGUAGCAUGAUGCCUGUACCUUAUGAAUAAGCAUCGGCUAACUCCGUGCCAGCAGCCGCGGUAAUACGGAGGAUGCGAGCGUUAUCCGGAUUUAUUGGGUUUAAAGGGUGCGUAGGCGGUUUUUUAAGUUAGUGUUUAAACGUCGGGGCUUCACCUUUAUUUGCCUUUAAUUCUGUAAGA
rnacentral:rRNA from 1 species